CUGGCCCUCAAUCAAGGCCGGCAGCUUCCUGCCACUGUUGGUUUCAAGCAGGAGCCUAAAGAGAUGUCUUUCUACGAUUUGUUGGCCAUUGCAAAACUUGGGCAGUGAAACGGUCAAUUCAUUAGAAAGAAACAGCU
ensembl:snoRNA